GUGGCCGCGCUACGUUUCUUCGCGAGAUUUUCAAGGACGUGUCCACAGAAGAAGAUUGUGGAGCAUUAUCUAUAGAAGUCUUGAUCUUGUCACUGUCAGUUUUCUCGUUUAAUUCUUGUUGAUGCUGAAAUAUUCUGCAUCCUGCCUGAUGAUCCUUUUGAUGGACAAAAUCCAUUUUAAUGACAAAGGAUUGAAAAAAUACUAUCAUAGCAAUCGUCGUGUGUGUUUAUCUUCAUAAUUGUUCCUUAUAUCGUGUGUUAUUGUAAUAGGUUUCUUGUGUGUGUUGUCUUUGCUACUGUUGUCCUGUUUAAAUCUGUCGAGGCCGGUCCCAUGCAAGCACGAGCUGUGAAAGGAGGAGGGUUGAGAAUAGGGCUACAAAAACCUACAACGUAAAACAACAUUUUGUGGCCGUAAAAACCCCACCAAAAUAAACAGUAAAACUAAAAGGAUAUAUUGCAAUUACUUAAGUGAACAAAUCAGUAAAAUAAUCAUUCAUGUGAUGCUUUGAUUCAGUACUAUUUAUACAGCACAAUUUUAUAUAAAUAUUGCACUUUAUAAUUAUAUGUAAAAUUAGUUUGCUAGUGGAUUUGUAAAAUCUGUUGAUUUUAUCCUUAAUGUCACAAGGGUCACUAUCAUUACUAAAAUGCAGUAAAUAGAAUGACGGAUAUUGUAAAUAUUUUAAUUUGACAGACAAAAAAUGGAAUUUAAAUGAUUAUAAUGUUACUUAGCAUGUUCACUAAGCAUCCACCAAAGAUGAUCAGUUUUGUAUAAAAUAUUCAGAAUCUUACAGAUUUUUUCUCAGAUUAAUGAUAUUUGUGGUCUAAGGGGAGUGAACUCUGUCCUAUUACCUCCCUUUGAUUCCUAAAUGCUAAUACAUCAUUGCAUGACUUUUCUAUCACAGAAAAUACAUUUAAACAUGAUACUUUUUGAUUUUUUAUUAAAUUAUAAGUUAUAUUUGUCUUGUCUGUUAUUACUGUAAUGGUUUAAAAAGUGAAAAAGUGUUAUUUUUGAAUUGCUGUUUAGAUUUGCUUCAGUUUGAUAUGUUGGAUGAUGACAUUUGUUCAGUUUUUUGUUUUUUUGGUUUGCGAUAAAAUAGUUUGUGGACGCUGGUGGCAGCCAUCUUGAAUUUCAAAAUGGCCAAUAUCGACCAAUAAUUUUUUUUAGUAAGGUUUGAUUCAAGAUUUUUUAAUGAAUAAACCACUUAUUUUUUUUACAUAUAUAGACACUUAUAAACUCCAUACUAGAUUAUAUAAUGGUGGCCAUCUUGGAUUCAAAUAUGGCUGACAUCACCUAAUUUGCAUAUUUGCAUCACCAUGAUUCUUAUUUGGUUAGAUGUUGUAUUAAUUGUUAAUUAUUCUGUAAAUGUAACAGGAAUUUGAAUAUAAAUAGUUACGAUUUCAACAAUA